CACUGACAAGCUCCCAAGAAGGACAGGACCAUGAAGUGGGGCUCUGUUUCUCUCCUGCCCCAUCCCUGCUCUCCCCCUUCUCUUCCCUCUUCCCCCUGCUGCAUCUUGAACCUGAAGUGAUGCUCACAUCUAUCUUCUUUCUCAACUGAGCUGUGUUUUGGCAUCAAUAUGUGCAUGUAGCAGAUGCAAAUUGCCUCUAAUUAGAGGUAGAACACAGGACUGGUGUAAUGAUUUGUGGAUUCUUGCCACACUCUUUUUACAACUUUACCAACACCCUUUGGGCUGUAAUUGUGUAGGAAGAAUCCACCAAAGUGCAGCCUCAUUUCUGAUCCCUGCUGGGGGAGUUUCCUCUCCCUGCCCCAGCCCAGGUCAGCAGCAGCAGCACAGAAUUUGGCAAGGCAGGACGUGCUCCUGAGGUCACCUGUGAAAAUGGUUCAGUCACCUUGAGUGCUGAUAAGGGAAAGUGGAUUUCACCUCUCCUGGGUGCAGGAAGACACCGUGCAGCACUGACAGGGGGAUAAGUUACUAUGGUGAUGAAGGCU
rnacentral:lncRNA from 12 species